UUGUUCAGGGUGCUAAAUAGUACUGAAAAUUGAUAACAAAUCAAGUCAGCCUAAUUUACAGUCUCGAAGUUAGGUGACAUUACAUUAAACAGAUGAUCAACCAUCAAAAUUACUACAGCAGUGUUUAUUUUCCAGAUCACAUUUUGUAGUCUUUGAAAUGUCAGAUAUGCACUCCCACUGAGAGGCAAAUGUGGAUAUACAUAUGCGAGGAUGUCAUCAACAUGGAGAAGAUUGAAAGCAAAUGUGCAAGGAUUCAUUACAGAUUUAAUCCUUCCAACAAUUCUGAUUAAACAAGGGACCGACAGGUUGUUUGAUUCUGAGGAUUUGGGUUAUUGAUUAUUGACAUAGGAACUGAAUCCCCUGAAUAUUUCACCAAAUGGAAUUUUGGAUGUGAAAAUUUGUGGCUUCCAAAUAAAGGACAUUCAUUUAUAGUGUGCUUUAUUCAUAUUAACAUUACACACUUCCUUCUGACCUAUAACAGACUGAGAGCUGUCACCUGAGGCACUGUCUUCUUUUUUAUCACAUUAAAGAGCAAAAAGCCACAAACAGCUUAUUAAUGAGUCUUAAAGAAAUACAUUCCUGCUUCUGUCUCAGGGCGCCUCCACAGCAACAUGCACAUCCCUGAUGCUUUUCUGCAUCUUCCAAUUUCAGCAUGCCACCUGCACAAUCAUCCUAAAAUAUCACUUUUGUUAUGUUAAUUUCCCAGCGGGGGUGGGAAGGACCCUUUUAUAGCCUGCCGCUACAUACAGCGUAAAUACCAACCCCUUUUCAUCAUUGGAGCUUUUGUCUUGGGCAUGAAUUUCCUCCUACAUAAAAUCAAAUUGCUCACUGGCCUUAAGAAGGAUCAUCUAUUUUCUCAUUCUCUGCCUUUCCCCAGCCAUCCCUCUGCCUGGCAUGUGGCCUCCCAUACUCACUUGGACAAAUCCCUUUUGUCAUUUACAGCUUAGUCCUAGUGCCUCCCUACACUCUUUCUGAACCAUGGUUAGCUCUAUAAAUAUAACAUCAUUUGUGUAUGAGUAGUCACAGAACAGCAUCCCACAGAAUGCCACUCAGAUGUCUUUUUCUUGGUCAACAUGGUGAUGGUGUUUUUGCUACUAUUUAAACUAAAUUUUAAUGCUUUCAGGGACCACGUAUACUCUUCAGUUCCCUUAUCACUUGAGUUCAAAAACCCUUGUCUAUGUCAUGUCAUGCUGGUGGCACUAUUUCAUGAUUUUUAUCUGUAAA
rnacentral:lncRNA from 1 species